rnacentral:rRNA from 1 species
AGUGAACGCUGGCGGUAGGCCUAACACAUGCAAGUCGAACGGCAGCACAGUAAGAGCUUGCUCUUACGGGUGGCGAGUGGCGGACGGGUGAGGAAUACAUCGGAAUCUACUUUUUCGUGGGGGAUAACGUAGGGAAACUUACGCUAAUACCGCAUACGACCUACGGGUGAGAGCAGGGGAUCUUCGGACCUUGCGCGAUUGAAUGAGCCGAUGUCGGAUUAGCUAGUUGGCGGGGUAAAGGCCCACCAAGGCGACGAUACGUAGCUGGUCUGAGAGGAUGAUAAGCCACACUGGAACUGAGACACGGUCCAGACUCCUACGGGAGGCAGCAGUGGGGAAUAUUGGACAAUGGGCGCAAGCCUGAUCCAGCCAUACCGCGUGGGUGAAGAAGGCCUUCGGGUUGUAAAGCCCUUUUGUUGGGAAAGAAAAUCAGUAGGUUAAUACCCCGCUGUCCUGACGGUACCCAAAGAAUAAGCACCGGCUAACUUCGUG